UGGAGCAGUGAUAAUGCCUAGUGAUAUGUGAGUCAAGGACGAUGAUAAGUACUGUCUGGAACUCCGAGGCCCAG
rnacentral:snoRNA from 1 species